AAAGUUAAAUAGCACGUGAAAUUGUUGAAAGGGAAACGAUUGAAGUCAGUCGUACCGAUGAGCACUCAACCUUUCGGGCGUGAUUGGGGGGCUUAUGCUCUUGUAGUCGUGCCUCUUGGGUGUACUUGCUCGUAUGGUAGGUUAACAUCAAUUUUGGUCGUCAUAAAAUGACGGGAGGAAUGUGGCUUCUCCGGAAGUGUUAUAGCCUCUGGUAGAUGUGAUGGUCGGGAUUGAGGAUUGCAACGAAUACCUUCGGGCUACUCGUCUGGCCUCUGAUUGUUGCUUUGGGGACGAAAGCGUGCUUACGGCUUCAAAGUUGGCGGUCAAAAGGUUAGAACGGGUUAAAUUCGUUAAGGAUGUUGACGUAAUGACUUUAAACGA
rnacentral:misc_RNA from 1 species